GAUGAACGCUAGCGGCAGGCUUAACACAUGCAAGUCGAGGGGUAGGGCAGCAAUGCCUGAGACCGGCGCACGGGUGCGUAACGCGUAUGCAACCUACCUUUUACAGGGGGAUAGCCCAGAGAAAUUUGGAUUAAUACCCCAUGGUAUAAUUUGAUGGCAUCAUUAGAUUAUUAAAGUUCCAACGGUAAAAGAUGGGCAUGCGUCCUAUUAGCUAGAUGGUAAGGUAACGGCUUACCAUGGCUACGAUAGGUAGGGGUCCUGAGAGGGAGAUCCCCCACACUGGUACUGAGACACGGACCAGACUCCUACGGGAGGCAGCAGUGAGGAAUAUUCGACAAUGGGCGCAAGCCUGAUCCAGCCAUGCCGCGUGCAGGAAGAAGCAUCUAUGGUGUGUAAACUGCUUUUGUACGGGAAGAAACACCCCCUCGUGAGGGGGCUUGACGGUACCGUAAGAAUAAGGAUCGGCUAACUCCGUGCCAGCAGCCGCCGUAAUAC
rnacentral:rRNA from 1 species